rnacentral:rRNA from 1 species
CACGUAGGGCGCAAGCGUUGUCCGGAAUUAUUGGGCGUAAAGAGCUCGUAGGCGGUCUGUUACGUCUGCUGUGAAAACCCGGGGCUUAACCCUGGGCUUGCAGUGGAUACGGGCAGACUAGAGGCAGGUAGGGGAGAAUGGAAUUCCCGGUGUAGCGGUGAAAUGCGCAGAUAUCGGGAGGAACACCUAUGGCGAAGGCAGCUCGCUGGGACGUUACUGACGCUGAGACGCGAAAGCGUGGGGAGCAAACAGG